rnacentral:rRNA from 1 species
UGGGGAAUUUUGACGAAUUGGGGGAAACCCUGAUCCAGCCAUCCCGCGUGUGCGAUGAAGGCCUUCGGGUUGUAAAGCACUUUUGGCAGGAAAGAAACGUCGCGGGUUAAUACCCCGCGAAACUGACGGUACCUGCAGAAUAAGCACCGGCUAACUACGUGCCAGCAGCCGCGGUAAUACGUAGGGUGCAAGCGUUAAUCGGAAUUACUGGGCGUAAAGCGUGCGCAGGCGGUUCGGAAAGAAAGAUGUGAAAUCCCAGAGCUUAACUUUGGAACUGCAUUUUUAACUACCGGGCUAGAGUGUGUCAGAGGGAGGUGGAACUCCGCGUGUAGCAGUGAAAUGCGUAGAUAUGCGGAGGAACACCGAUGGCGAAGGCAGCCUCCUGGGAUAACACUGACGCUCAUGCACGAAAAGCGUGGGGAGCAAAACAGGAUUAGAUACCCUGGUAGUCCACGCCCUAAAACGAUGUCAAACUAGCUGUUGGGGCCUUCGGGCCUUGGUAGCGCAGCUAACGCGUGAAGUUGACCGCCU